AUUGAACGCUGGCGGCAUGCUUUACACAUGCAAGUCGAACGGUAACAGGCCGCAAGGUGCUGACGAGUGGCGAACGGGUGAGUAAUGCAUCGGAACGUGCCCAGUCGUGGGGGAUAACGCAGCGAAAGCUGUGCUAAUACCGCAUACGAUCUAUGGAUGAAAGCGGGGGACCGUAAGGCCUCGCGCGAUUGGAGCGGCCGAUGUCAGAUUAGGCAGUUGGUGGGGUAAAGGCUCACCAAGCCAACGAUCUGUAGCUGGUCUGAGAGGACGACCAGCCACACGGGGACUGAGACACGGCCCAGACUCCAACGGGAGGCAGCAGUGGGGAAUUUUGGACAAUGGGCGCAAGCCUGAUCCAGCAAUGCCGCGUGCAGGAAGAAGGCCUUCGGGUUGUAAGCUGCUUUUGUACGGAACGAAAAGGUUUGGGUUAAUACCCUGGGCCGAUGACGGUACCGUAAGAAUAAGCACCGGCUAACUACGUGCCAGCCGCCGCCGUAA
rnacentral:rRNA from 1 species